rnacentral:miRNA from 1 species
UUGUACGACCCAUGCUGGCCCA